CUCCCCAAAAGGCGGUCCCUCCUCCCCGAAAGGUGGCCGCUCCUCCCCAUAAGGUGGUCUCUCCCCCCUGAAAGGUGGUCUCUCACCCCCGAAAGGUGGCCUAUCUUCCCCGUAAGGUGGUCUCUCGCCUCUGAAAGGUGGCCUAUCUUCCCCGUAAGGUGGUCUCUCCUCCCUGUAAGGUGGUCUCUCUUCCCCAUAAGGUGGUCUCUCCUCCCUGUAAGGUGGUCUCUCUUCCCCGUAAGGUGGCCUCUCCUCCCCAAAAGGUGGUCUCUCCUCCCCAAAAGGUGGUCUUUCUUCCCCAUAAGGCGGCUCAUUCCUCCCACCAUGUCUCUCCUCCCCAUAAGAUGGUUCAUUCCUUCCACCUAGUCUCUCCUCCCCAAGAGAUGAUUGUUUCCAUCCACCCGGUAUUUCCUCCCCAUCAGAUGACUGUUUCCAUCCACCAGAGCCCUCCUCACCAUGUUCUCCAGAACCAUGAUCGCUUCUCUGCAACAUAGAAUACAAGAGUCAAAUGCAGUAGCAAUGCACAUGGACAAAAGCUUAGCACCACCACCUUAAAAUCAAAUACUUCACUACCACAAUGCAGUGUGACAACUGACAAGGGAUGACCUCACCCCUAGUGCCUUUAUAUAGCAAACAUAUAAGUUCUAUAACUACUGAAAGCAAAUGAGCGAAAAAUAGAGAGAAGGAGCAUAUGAACUUUUGGUUACCCCAGGUAGAAA
rnacentral:lncRNA from 1 species